rnacentral:rRNA from 2 species
AGUCGUACGCACUGGCCCAACUGAUUGAUGGUGCUUGCACCUGAUUGACGAUGGAUCACCAGUGAGUGGCGGACGGGUGAGUAACACGUAGGUAACCUGCCCCGGAGCGGGGGAUAACAUUUGGAAACAGAUGCUAAUACCGCAUAACAACAAAAGCCACAUGGCUUUUGUUUGAAAGAUGGCUUUGGCUAUCACUCUGGGAUGGACCUGCGGUGCAUUAGCUAGUUGGUAAGGUAACGGCUUACCAAGGCGAUGAUGCAUAGCCGAGUUGAGAGACUGAUCGGCCACAAUGGAACUGAGACACGGUCCAUACUCCUACGGGAGGCAGCAGUAGGGAAUCUUCCACAAUGGGCGCAAGCCUGAUGGAGCAACACCGCGUGAGUGAAGAAGGGUUUCGGCUCGUAAAGCUCUGUUGUUGGAGAAGAACGUGCGUGAGAGUAACUGUUCACGCAGUGACGGUAUCCAACCAGAAAGUCACGGCUAACUACGUGCCAGCAGCCGCGGUAAUACGUAGGUGGCAAGCGUUAUCCGGAUUUAUUGGGCGUAAAGCGAGCGCAGGCGGUUGCUUAGGUCUGAUGUGAAAGCCUUCGGCUUAACCGAAGAAGUGCAUCGGAAACCGGGCGACUUGAGUGCAGAAGAGGACAGUGGAACUCCAUGUGUAGCGGUGGAAUGCGUAGAUAUAUGGAAGAACACCAGUGGCGAAGGCGGCUGUCUGGUCUGCAACUGACGCUGAGGCUCGAAAGCAUGGGUAGCGAACAGGAUUAGAUACCCUGGUAGUCCAUGCCGUAAACGAUGAGUGCUAGGUGUUGGAGGGUUUCCGCCCUUCAGUGCCGGAGCUAACGCAUUAAGCACUCCGCCUGGGGAGUACGACCGCAAGGUUGAAACUCAAAGGAAUUGACGGGGGCCCGCACAAGCGGUGGAGCAUGUGGUUUAAUUCGAAGCUACGCGAAGAACCUUACCAGGUCUUGACG